GCCGGCCGGGCUACUGAGCAUGCCCGGCACGGCGACAGCUGCCAAACUAAAGGACUUUAAGCUGCGGUUAAGCACUGAUUUCCCUUCCUAGGGGCCUAGCGUGAAAUGGGAGGGAACUAGCCAAGAGAGAGGAGGUGUAGCCCAUUUUACAGAUGGGGACACUGAGGCCCGGCAGGAUUCACGUAUGGUAAACUACCCAAGGACAGCAGAGAAGAGGGAAUACAUGCUCCCAGACAGGAUGGGCAAGGAGCCCUAAGUGGGCUUACUAACUGCUCCCCCUAUCUCCCAGGAUUGUUGACAAGACCAGAUGAGACAAUGCAUGUGAAAUACAUCAAAAGUACAUCUACAUGUGGAACAACUCCUACAGAACACCUACUGAUGCUGGCAGAAGACCUCAGACUUCCCAAAAGGCAAGAAACUCCCCACAUACCUGGGUAGGGCAAAAGAAAAAAGAAAAAACAGAAACAAAAGAAUAGGGAAGGGACCUGCACCUCUGGGAGGGAGCUGUGAAGGAGGAAAUGUUUCCAUGCACUAGGAAGUCCCUUCACUGGCGGAGAAGGGGGGAUGGGUGGGGGGAAGCUUCAGAACCACAGAGGAGAGCACAGCAACAGGGGUGCAGAGGGCAAAGCAGAGAGAUUCCUGCACAGAGGGGAUCACUGCUGACUAGUACUCACCAGCCUGAGAGGCUUGUCUGCUCACCCACUGGGGUGGGUGGGGGCUGGGAGCUGAGGCUUGGCUUCGGAGGUCAGAUCCCAGGGAGAGGACUGGGGUUGGCUUUGCGAACACAGCCUAAUUUGUUUUUGGUUUUAUGUUUAUCUUAGUUCAGUAUUUAGAGCUUAUUAUAACUGGUAGAUUUGUUUAUUGAUAUGGUUGCUCUCUUCCUUUUUUUUUUUUUUUUCCCCUGGUACAUGGGCCUCUCACUGUUGUGGCCUCUCCCAUUGCGGAGCACAGGCUCUGGAUGCGCAGGCUCAGUGGCCAUGGCCAUGGCUCACGGGCCCAACCGCUCCACGGCAUGUGGGAUCUUCCUGGACUGGGGCACGAACCCAUGUCCCCUGCAUCAGCAGGUGGACUCUCAACCACUGCGCUGCCAGGGAAGCCCUCUUCCUUUUUUUAUAUAUAUAUAUUUUUCCUUUUUCUCUUUUUCUGAGUGUGUAUGUGUAUGCUUCUUUGUGUGAUUUGUCUGUAUAGGUUAGCUUUUACCAUUUGUCCUAGGGUCUGUCUCUCUGUCUUUUUUAGUCAAGAUUUUAGUGCUUGUUAUAAUUGGUGGAUUUAUUUAUUGGUUUGGUUGCUCCCUUCUAUUUUUAAAUUACUUUUUAAUUUUAAUACUUUUUAACUGUUUAUUUUAAUAACUUUAUUUUAUUUAUUUUCUUUCUUUCUUUCUUAUUUUUUUCUUUUCUCCCUUUUCUUCUGAGCCAUGUGGCUGACAGUGUGUUGGUGCUCUGGCAGGGUAUCAGGCCUGAGCCUCUGAGGUGUGAGAACCAAGUUCAGGACAUUGGUCCACCAGAGACCUCCCAGUCCCUCAUAAUAUCAAUUGGCAAGAGCCCUCCCAGAGAUCUCUGUCUCAACACUAAGACCCAGCUCCACUCAAUGACCAGCAAGCUCCAGUUCUGGACACCCCAUGCCAAACAACUAGCAAGACAGGAACACAUCCCAACCCAUUAGCGGAGAGGCUGCCUAAAAUCAGCAGGUUCACAGACACCCCAAAACAUACCACCGGACGCAGUCCUGCCCACCAGAGAGACAAGAUCCAACCCCAUCUAUCAGAACACAGGCACCAGUCCCCUCCACCAGGAAGCCUAAACAAAGCAUUGAACCAACCUUAGCCACUGGGGCAGACACCAAAAACAAUGGGAACUACGAACCUGCAGCCUGUGAAAAGGAGACCCCAAACACAGUAAGUUAAGCAAAAUGAGAAGACAGAGAAACACACAACAGAUGAAGGAGCAAGGUAAAAACCCACCAGACCUAACAAAUGAAGAGGAAAGAGGCAGUCUACCUGAAAAAAGAAUUCAAGUAAUGAUAGUACAGAUGGUCCAAAAUCUUGGAAAUAGAAGGGAGAAAAUACAAGAAACGUUUAACAAGGACCUAGAAGAACUAAAGAGCAAACAAACAAUGAUGAACAACACAAUAAAUGAAAUUACAAAUUCUCUAGAAGGGAUCAAUAGCAGAAUAACUGAGGCAGAAGAAUGGAUAAGUGACCUGGAAGAUAAAAUAGUGGAAAUAACUACCACAGAGCAGAAUAAAGAAAAAAGAAUGAAAAGAAAUGAGGACAGUCUCAGAGACCUCUGGGACAACAUUAAAUGCACAAACAUUAGAAUUAUAGGGGUCCCAGAAGAAGAAGAGAAAAAGAAAGGGACUAAGGAAAUAUUUGAAGAGAUUAUAGUUGAAAACUUCCCUAAUAUGGGAAAGGAAAUAGUCAAUCAAGUCCAUGAAGUGCAGAGAGUCCCAUACAGGAUAAAUCCAAGGAGAAACACACCAAGACACAUACUAAUCAAACUGUCAAAAAUUAAAUACAAAGAAGAAAUAUUAAAAGCAGCAAAGGAAAAGCAACAAAUAACAUACAAGGGAAUCCCCACAAGGUUAACACCUGAUCUUUCAGAAGAAACUCUGCAAGCCAGAAGGGAGUGGCAGGACAUAUUUAAAGGGAUGAAAGGGAAAAACCCACAACUAAGAAUACUCUACCCAGCAAGGUUCUCAUUCAGAUUCGAAGGAGAAAUUAAAACCUUUACAGACAAGCAAAAGCUAAGAGAAUUUCGCACUACCAAAACAGCUUUACAACAAAUGCUAAAGGAACUUCUCUAGGCAGGAAACACAAGAGAAGGAAAAAACAAUAACAAACCCAAAACGAUUAAGAAAAUGGGAAUAGGAACAUACUUAUCGAUAAUUACCUUAAAUGUAAAUGGAUUAAACGCUCCAACCCAAAGACACAAACUGGCUGAAUGGAUAGAAAAACAAGACCUGAAUUUAUGCUGCCUACAAGAGACUCACUUCAGACCUAGGGACACACACAGACUGAAAGUGAGGGUAUAGAAAAAGGUGUUCCAUGGAAAUGGAAGUCAAAAGAAAGCUGGAGUAGCAAUUCUCAGAUCAGAAAAAAUAGACUUUAAAAUAAAGACUAUUACAAUAGACAGAGGACACUACAUAAUGAUCAAGGGAUCAAUCCAAGAAGAAGUAUAACAAUUGUAAAUAUUUAUGCACCCAACAUAGGAGCACCUCCAUACAUAAGGCAAAUGCUAACAGCCAUAAAAGGGGAAAUCGACAGUAACACAAAAAUAGUAGGUGACUUUAACAGCCCACUUUCACCAAUGGACAGAUCAUCCAAAAUGAAAAUAAAAAAGGAAGCACAAGCUUUAAAUGACACAUUAAACAGAUGGACUUAAUUGAUAUUUAUAGGACCUUCUAUCCAAAGACAACAGAAUACAAUUUCUUCUCAAGUGCUCAUGGAACAUUCUCCAGGGUAGAUCAUAUCUUGGGUCACAAAUCAAGCUUGAGAAAUUUAAGAAAAUUGAAAUCGUAUCAAACAUCUUUUCCGAGCACAACACUGUAAGACUAGAUAUCAAUUAUAGGAAAAAACUGUACAAAAUACAAACACAUGGAGACUAAACAAUGCACUACUAAAUAAAAAAGAGGUCACUAAAGAAAUCAAAGAGGAAAACAAAAAAUACCUAGAAACAAAUGACAAUGAAAGCACAACAACCCAAAACCUAUUGGAUGCAUCAAAAGCAGUUCUAAGAGAGAAGUUUAUAACAAUAUAAUCCUAGAAACAAGAGACAUCUCAAAUAAACAACAUAACCUUACACCUAAAGCAAUUAGAGAAACAAGAAUAAAAAAAAACCCAAAGCUAGCAGAAGGAAAGAAAUCAUAAAGAUCAGAUUGAAAGUAAAUGAAAAAGAAAUAAAGGAAAUGAUAGCAAAUAUCAAUAAAACUAAAAGCUGGUUCUUUGAGAAGAUAAACAAAAUUGAGAAACCAUUAGCCAGACUCAUCAAGAAAAAGAGGGAGAGGACUCAAAUCAUUAAAUUUAGAAAUGAAAAAGGAGAAGUUACAACUGACACUGCAGAAAUACAAAGAAUCAUGAGAUUACUACAAGCAACUCUAUGCUAAUAAAAUGGACAACCUGGAAGAAAUGGGCAAAUUCUUAGAAAAGCACAACCUUCCGAGACUAAACCAGGAAGAAAUAAAUGUUAUAAACAGAACAAUCACAAGCACUGAAAUUGAAACUGUGAUUAAAAAUCUUCCAACAAACAAAAGCCCAGGACAAGAUGUCUUCACAAGCGAAUUCUAUCAAACAUUUAGGGAAGAGCUAACACCUAUCCUUCUCAAACUCUUCCAAAAUAUAGCAGAAGGAGGAGCACUCCCAAACUCAUUCUACGAGGCCACCAUCACCCUGAGACCAAAACGAGACAAAGAUGUCACAAAAAAAGAAAACUACAGGCCAAUAUCACUGAUGAACAUAGAUGCAAAAUUCCUCAACAAAAUACUAGCAUGCAGAAUCCAACAUCACAUUACAAGGAUCAUACAUUAUGAUCAAGUGGGGUUUAUCCCAGGAAUGGAAGGUUUCUUUAAUAUACGCAAAUCAAUCAAUGUGAUACACCAUAUUAACAAAUUGAAGGAGAAAAACCAUAUAAUCCUCUCAAUAGAUGCAGAGAAAGCUUUGGACAAAAUUCAACACCCAUUUAUGAUAGAAACCCUCCAGAAAGUAGGCAUAGAGGGAACUUACGUCAACGUAAUAAAGGCCAUAUAUGACAAACCCACAGCCAACUUCGCUCUCAAUCAUGAAAAGCUGAAACCAUUUCCUCUAAGAUCAGGAACAAGAUAAGGCUGCCCACUCUCACCACUAUUAUUCAACAUAGUUUUGGAAGUUUUAGCCACAGCAAUCAGAGAAGGAAAAGAAAUAAAAGGAAUACAAAUUGGAAAAGAAGAAGUGAAACUGUCACUGUUUGCAGAUGACAUGAUACUGUACAUAGAUAAUCUAAAGAUGUUACCAGAAAACUGCUAGAGCUAAUCAAUGAAUUUAGUAAAGUAGCAGGAUACAAAAUUAAUGCAUAGAAAUCUCUUGCAUUCCUAUACACUAAUGAUGAAAAAUCUGAAAGAGCAAUUAAGGAAACACUCCCAUUUACCAUUGCAGCAAAAAGAAUAACAUACAUAGGAAUAAACCUACCUAAGGAGACAAAAGACCUGUAUGCAGAAAAUUAUAAGACACUGAUGAGAGAAAUUAAAGAUACAAACAGAUGGAGAGAUAUACCAUGUUGUUGGAUUGGAAGAAUCAACACUGUGAAAAUGACUAUACUACCCUAAGCAAUCUACAAAUUCAAUGCAAUCCCUAUCAAACUACCACUGGCAUUUUUCACAGAACUAGAACAAAAAAUUUCACAAUUUGUAUGGAAACACAAAAGACCCUGAAUAGCGAAAGCAAUCUUGAGAACGAAAAACGGAGCUGUAGGAAUCAGGCUCCCUGACUUCAGACUAUACUACAAAGCUACAGUAAUCAAGACAGUAUGAUACUGGCACAAAAACAGAAAUAUAGAUCAAUGGAACAGGAUAGAAAGCCAGAGAUAAACCCACGCACAUAUGGUCACCUUAUCUUUGAUAAAGGAGGCAAGAAUAUACAAUGGAGAAAAGACAGCCUCUUAAAUAAGUGGUGCUGGCAAAACUGGACAGCUACAUGUUAAAGAAUGAAAUUAGAUCACUUCUUAACACCAUACACAAAAAUAAACUCAAAAUGGAUUAAAGACCAAAAUGUAAGGCCAAAGAAUAUAAACCUCUUAGAGGAAAACAUAGGCAGAACACUCUAUGACAUAAAUCACAGUAAGAUCCUUUUUGACCCAUAUCCUAUAGAAAUGGAAGUAAAAACAAAAAUAUAGAAAUGGGACCUAAUGCAACUUAAAAGCUUUUGCACAGCAAGGAAACCAUAAACAAGAUGAAGACAACCCUCAGAAUGGGAGAAAAUAUUUGCAAAUGAAGCAACUGACAAAGGAUUAACCUCCAAACUAUACAAGCAGCUCAUGCAGCUCAAUAUCAAAGAAACAAACAACCCAAUCCAAAAAUGGGCAGAAGACCUAAAAAGACAUUUCUCCAAAGGAGAUAUACAGAUUGCCAAUAAACACAUGAAAGGAUGCUCAACAUCACUAAUCAUUGGAGAAAUGCAAAUCAAAACUACAAUGAGGUACCACCUCACACAGGUCAGAAUGGCCAUCAUCAAAAAGUCUACAACAGUAAAUGGUGGAGAGGGUGUGGAGAAAAGGGAACCCUCUUGCACUGUUGGUGGGAAUGUAAAUUGGUACAGCCACUAUGGAGAACAGUAUGGAGGUUCCUUAAAAAUCUAACAAUAGAACUACCAUACGACCCAGCAAUCCCACUACUGGGUAUAUACCCUGAGAAAACCAUAAUUCAAAAAGAGUCAUGUACCACAAUGUUCAUUGUAGCACUAUUUACAAUAGCCAGGACAUGGAAGCAACCUAAGUGUCCACUGACAGAUUACUGGAUAAAGAAGAUGUGGCAUCUAUAUACAAUGGAAUAUUACUCAGCCAUAAAAAGAAACAGAAUUGAGUUAUUUGUAGUGAGGUGGAUGGACCUAGAGUCUGUCAUACAGUGUCAAGUAAGUCAGAAAGAGAAAAACAAAUACAGUAUGGUAACACAUAUAUAUGGAGUCUAAAAAAAACAAAAAAACAAAAAACAAAUGGUUUUGACGAACCUAGGAGCAGGACAGGAAUAAAGAUGCUGAAGUAGAGAAUGGACUUGAGGACACGGGAAGGGGGAAGGGUAAGCUGGGACAAAGUGAGAGAGUGGCAUGGACAUAUAUAUGUACUACCAAAUGUAAAAUAGAUAGCUACUGGGAAGCAGCACAUGGCACAGGGAGAUCAACUCGGUGCUUCGUUACCGCCUA